UUGGUGAUUCAUAAUAACUUUACGGAUCGCAUCUCUGAUGCGACAUAUCAUUCAAGUUUCUGACCUAUCAGCUUUAGACGGUAGGGUAUUGGCCUACCAUGGCUAUGACGGGUAACGGGGAAUUAGGGUUCGAUUCCGGAGAGGGAGCCUGAGAAACGGCUACCACAUCUAAGGAAGGCAGCAGGCGCGCAAACUACCCAAUCCUGACACAGGGAGGUAGUGACAAGAAAUAACAAUACAGGGCCUAACGGUCUUGUAAUUGGAAUGAGUGAAGUAUAAACCCCUUUACGAGUAUCAAUUGGAGGGCAAGUCUGGUGCCAGCAGCCGCGGUAAUUCCAGCUCCAAUAGCGUAUAUUAAAGUUGUUGCAGUUAAAAAGCUCGUAGUUGGAUUUCUGUUGUAUAAUUUAUAAUAUUACCAAGGUAAUUAUUAUAUUAUCAACAUCCUUCCUAUUAUAUUCUAAAUAUAUAGGAAAUUUUACUUUGAGAAAAUUAGAGUGCUUAAAGCAGGCAACUGCCUUGAAUACUCCAGCAUGGAAUAAUAAGUAAGGACUUUUGUCUUUCUUAUUGGUUCUAGGACAAAAGUAAUGGUUAAUAGGGACAGUUGGGGGCAUUCGUAUUUAACAGCCAGAGGUGAAAUUCUUAGAUUUGUUAAAGACGAACUACUGCGAAAGCAUUUGCCAAGGAUGUUUUCAUUAAUCAAGAACGAAAGUUAGGGGAUCGAAGACGAUCAGAUACCGUCGUAGUCUUAACCAUAA
rnacentral:rRNA from 1 species